GAUGAACGCUGGCGGCGUGCCUAAUACAUGCAAGUCGAGCGAACAGACGAUGAGCUUUCUCCACUGAGGUUAGCGGCGGACGGGCGGGUAACACAUGGAUAACCUACCUCUAAGACGGGGAUAACUUCGGGAAACCAGAACCAAUACCAGCAAAUAUAUCCUACCGUUUGGUACAAGAGGGCUUGACACCUUGGCCGACCAAAUCAGACGAAUCCGCGCCGCCUUAGCAAGUUGGUAACGGAACGGCACACCCAGGAAACGAUGCGUAGCCGACCGGAGAGGCUGAUCAGCCCCACUGGCACUGAGGCACGGUCCGGACUCCUACGGGACGCCGCAGUUGGGAAUCUUCCGCAAUGGGCGAUAGCCUGACCGAGCGACACCGCGUGAGUGAUGAAGUCCUUCGGGUCGUAAACCUCUGUUAUUUGGAAAGAAGAAUUGUGUCCUGAACCACCCAUGUCUUGACGGUACCUAACGAGAGAGCCCCGGCUAACUUCGUG
rnacentral:rRNA from 1 species